GCAUCUGUAGUGUAGUGGUUAUCAUCCCAGCCUUCCAUUCCGUGUGGCUCAGCUGGGGACCCGGUUUCGAUUACCGGCGGAUGCA
rnacentral:tRNA from 1 species